GCAGCAGCAAGGAAUUUUCGGCAAUGGGCGCAAGCCUGACCGAGCAACGCCGCGUGGAGGACGACGGCCUUCGGGUUGUAAACUCCUUUUCGGGGGGACGAUACAGACGGUACCCCCGGAAUAAGGCUCGGCUAACUCUGUGCCAGCAGCCGCGGUAAGACAGAGGAGCCAAGCGUUGUCCGGAUUGACUGGGCGUAAAGCGCACGCAGGCGGCCGCGCGCGUGGGGUGUGAAAACCGCUGGCUUAACUGGCGGAGGCCACCUCAUACGGCGCGGCUCGAGCCGUGCAGAGGUCCGUGGAAUUGCCGGUGUAGUGGUGAAAUGCGUAGAGAUCGGCAGGAACACCAAGGGGGAAACCAGCGGACUGGGCACGUGCUGACGCUCAGGUGCGAAAGCGUGGGGAGCGAACUGGAUUAGAUACCCAGGUAGUCCACGCCGUAAACGAUGGACACUCGGCAUCUGGCGGGCAAUUCUGUCCGCCGGGUGCCCCAGCUAACGCGAUAAGUGUCCCGCCUGGGAACUACGAGCGCAAGCUUAAAACUCAAAGGAAUUGACGG
rnacentral:rRNA from 1 species